UACAGAGGUCUCAAGCGUUGUUCGGAUUCAUUGGGCGUAAAGGGUGCGUAGGCGGCGCGGUAAGUCGGGUGUGAAAUCUCGGAGCUUAACUCCGAAACUGCAUUCGAUACUGCCGUGCUUGAGGACUGGAGAGGAGACUGGAAUUUACGGUGUAGCGGUGAAAUGCGUAGAUAUCGUAAGGAAGACCAGUGGCGGAAGGCGGGUCUCUGGACAGGUUCCUGACGCUGAGGCACGAAGGUCAGGGGAGCAAACGGG
rnacentral:rRNA from 1 species